GUACACACCUCCCGUCGUUCCAACCGAUUCAUUGUGGUGGUGAAGUGUUAGGAUCGGCGUCAGUUUGUGGCAACAUUCAAUGAGGCUGAAAAGUUCCCUAAACCCUCCCACCUAGAGGAAGGAGAAGUCGUAACAAGGUUUCCGUAGGUGAACCUGCGGAAGGAUCAUUG
rnacentral:rRNA from 1 species